rnacentral:rRNA from 1 species
CCUACGGGAGGCUGCAGUGAGGAAUAUUGGUCAAUGGGCGAGAGCCUGAACCAGCGAAGUCGCGUGAAGGAUGACGGCCCUACGGGUUGUAAACUUCUUUUGUCAGGGAGCAAUUGAGUCCACGUGUGGGCUUAGCGAGAGUACCUGAAGAUAAAGCAUCGGCUAACUCCGUGACAGCAGCCGCGGUUAUACGGAGGAUGCGAGCGUUAUCCGGAUUUAUUGGGUGUAAAGGGUGCGUAGGCGGAAUAGCAAGUCAGCUGUAAAAAUUCGGGGCUCAACCCCGUCGUGCCGUUGAAACUGAAGUUCUUGAGUGGGCGAGAAGUAUGCGGAAUGCGUGGUGUAGCGGUGAAAUGCAUAGAUAUCACGAAGAACUCCGAUUGCGAAGGCAGCAUACCGGCGCCCAACUGACGCUGAAGCACGAAAGCGUGGGUAUCGAACAGGAUUAGAUACCCUAGUAGUC